rnacentral:rRNA from 1 species
AUACGGAGGGGGUUAGCGUUGUUCGGAAUUACUGGGCGUAAAGCGCACGUAGGCGGACUGGAAAGUUGGGGGUGAAAUCCCGGGGCUCAACCUCGGAACUGCCUCCAAAACUUCCAAUCUAGAGAUCGAGAGAGGUAAGUGGAAUUCCUAGCGUAGAGGUGAAAUUCGUAGAUAUUAGGAGGAACACCAGUGGCGAAGGCGGCUUACUGGCUCGAUACUGACGCUGAGGUGCGAAAGCGUGGGGAGCAAACAGGAUUAGAAACCCUUGUAGUCC